UUAGUCUUAUAAUUUGAGACUGGAAUGAAAGAAUUAACUAAAAGAAAAAUUUUUUAUUAAUAUCUUAUAAAUUUUACUUUUUAGUAAAAAGGCUAAAAUUUUUCUUUUAGACAAGAAGACCCUAUAAAACUUUACAUUUUUAAAUAUAAAAAUGUAAAUAAUGUUUAACUGGGGCGGUUUAGAAUAAAAACAUUUUUUAAUCUAUAAAACUUAAAGGUUUAUAUAACUAGAAUUUCUAAAAUAAAAAUAAGUUACUUUAGGGAUAACAGCGUAAUUUAUUUUAAAAGAUCUUAUUGACAAAUAAGUUUGCGACCUCGAUGUUGGAUUAGAGAGUCUUGCCUAUGUAUAAGUAG
rnacentral:rRNA from 1 species